ensembl:snRNA U5 U5 spliceosomal RNA
UUCAUCACGUACAAAUCUUUCGCCUUUUACUAAAGAUUUCCGUGGA